AUUGAACGCUGGCGGCAUGCCUUACACAUGCAAGUCGAACGGCAGCACGGGAGCAAUCCUGGUGGCGAGUGGCGAACGGGUGAGUAAAGUAUCGGAACGUGCCCAGUCGUGGGGGAUAACGUAGCGAAAGUUACGCUAAUACCGCAUACGAUCUAUGGAUGAAAGCGGGGGAUCGCAAGACCUCGCGCGAUUGGAGCGGCCGAUAUCAGAUUAGGUAGUUGGUGGGGUAAAGGCUCACCAAGCCGACGAUCUGUAGCUGGUCUGAGAGGACGACCAGCCACCCUGGGACUGAGACACGGCCCAGACUCCUACGGGAGGCAGCAGUGGGGAAUUUUGGACAAUGGGCGAAAGCCUGAUCCAGCCAUGCCGCGUGCAGGAUGAAGGCCUUCGGGUUGUAAACUGCUUUUGUACGGAACGAAAAGGUUUGGCCUAAUAAGCUGAGCUCAUGACGGUACCGUAAGAAUAAGCACCGGCUAACUACGUGCCAGCCGCCGCCGUAAUAC
rnacentral:rRNA from 1 species